CCUACGGGUGGCAGCAGUGAGGAAUAUUGGUCAAUGGACGCAAGUCUGAACCAGCCAUGCAGCGUGCAGGAAGACGGCCCUAUGAGUUGUAAACUGCUUUUGUACGAGGGUAAACGCAGAUACGCGUACCUGUCUGAAAGUAUCGUAUGAAUAAGGAUCGGCUAACUCCGUGCCAGCAGCCGCGGUAAUACGGAGGAUUCAAGCGUUAUCCGGAUUUAUUGGGUUUAAAGGGUGCGUAGGCGGUCGGUUAAGUUAGAGGUGAAAUCCCGAGGCUCAACUUUAGAAUUGCAAUUGAUACUGGUCGGCUAGAGAAUAGUUGCGGUAGGCGGAAUGUAUGGUGUAGCGGUGAAAUGCUUAGAGAUCAUGAAGAACACCGAUUGCGAAGGCAGCUUACCAAGCUACUACUGACGUUGAGGCACGAAAGCGUGGGGAGCAAACAGGAUUAGAUACCCGAGUAGUC
rnacentral:rRNA from 1 species